ACUGCUCAGUAACACGUAGCUAACCUAACCUUAAGUCAAGAAUAACCUCGGGAAACUGAGGAUAAAACUUGAUAGGAAAUUAUUUCUGGAAUGAAUUAUUUCUUAAACUCGUGCUUAAGGAUGGGGCUGCGGCUGAUUAGCUAGUUGUUGGUGUAAUGGACUAACAAGGCGAUGAUCAGUAAGGGCUCUUAGCGGAGAGGCCCUGAGAAGGAAUCUUAGACACUAUUCCUAGCUCUACGGGGUGCAGCAGUCGAGGAACUUCUUCAAUGCCCGCAAGGGUGAAAGAGCGAGCCAGAGUGUUUUCUUUACGAAAACUUUUAUCUGCUGCAAAAAGGCAGAUGAAUAAGGACUGGGUAAGACCGGUGCCAGCCGCCGCGGUAAUCCCGGCGGUCCAAGUCGCAUCCACAAUUAUUGGGUCUAAAACAUCCGUAGCUUGUUUUGUAAGUCUCUUGUGAAAUUUCAAAUCUCAAGUUUGAAGCGUGCAAGAGAUACUGCGAAACUAGAGACCGGAAGACGCAAAGAGUACGUUUGAGGUAGUGGUAAAAUAUGUUAAUCUUGAACGGACUAACAGUGGCGAAGGCGCUUUGCGAGUACGGAUCUGACAGUGAGGGAUGAAGGCUAGGGGCGCAAAAGGGAUUAGAUACCCCUGUAGUCCUAGCAGUAAACACUGCUCACUAAACAUUAGCACCUCCUCGAGAGGUGUUAGUGCUGUAGGGAAGCCGAAGAGUGAGCUACCUGGGAAGUAUAGUCGCAAGACCGAAACUUAAAGGAAUUGGCGGGGGAGCAC
rnacentral:rRNA from 1 species